ACUGGGCCAUAGCAUCUACAGAGUAAGAGUUGUGGUCCUGAAUUCAGGAAAUCCCCUCAGGAGGGAACGGCUGCCUAUUGCUUUGAUUGCACUCCUUGCUCAGAGAAUGAGAUGGCUAAUGGGUCAGAUAUAGACCAGUGUGUGAAGUACCCAGAUCAUC